rnacentral:rRNA from 1 species
CGCCCAAUGGCGAAUCAUCUGUGCUAAGCGCCCUGAACUGGCGGGAUCUCCUUCGGGAGACCUAAAAGGGAUGCGCGUGAACCCUGGGUGUAGUAGUCAAGCGAU